rnacentral:rRNA from 1 species
AGUGAACGCUGGCGGUAGGCCUAACACAUGCAAGUCGAACGGCAGCACAGUAAGAGUUUGCUCUUACGGGUGGCGAGUGGCGGACGGGUGAGGAAUACAUCGGAACCUACUUUUUCGUGGGGGAUAACGUAGGGAAACUUACGCUAAUACCGCAUACGACCUACGGGUGAAAGCAGGGGAUCUUUGGACCUUGCGCGAUUGAAAGAGCCGAUGUCGGAUUAGCUAGUUGGCGGGGUAAAGGCCCACCAAGGCGACGAUCCGUAGCUGGUCUGAGAGGAUGAUCAGCCACACUGGAACUGAGACACGGUCCAGACUCCUACGGGAGGCAGCAGUGAGGAAUGUUGGACAAUGGGCGCAAGCCUGAUCCAGCCAUACCGCGUGGGUGAAGAAGGCCUUCGGGUUGUAAAGCCCUUUUGUUGGGAAAGAAAAGCAGCAGGUUAAUACCCCGCUGUUCUGACGGUACCCAAAGAAUAAGCACCGGCUAACUUCGU